rnacentral:rRNA from 1 species
AACGAACGCUGGCGGCAUGCCUAACACAUGCAAGUCGAACGAAGGCUUCGGCCUUAGUGGCGCACGGGUGCGUAACGCGUGGGAAUCUGCCCUCUGGUACGGAAUAACUCAGGGAAACUUGAGCUAAUACCGUAUAAUGACUUCGGUCCAAAGAUUUAUCGCCUGAGGAUGAGCCCGCGUAGGAUUAGCUUGUUGGUGAGGUAAAGGCUCACCAAGGCGACGAUCCUUAGCUGGUCUGAGAGGAUGAUCAGCCACACUGGGACUGAGACACGGCCCAGACUCCUACGGGAGGCAGCAGUGGGGAAUAUUGGACAAUGGGCGAAAGCCUGAUCCAGCAAUGCCGCGUGAGUGAUGAAGGCCUUAGGGUUGUAAAGCUCUUUUACCCGGGAUGAUAAUGACAGUACCGGGAGGAUAAGCCCCGGCUAACUCCGUGCCAGCCGCCGCGGUAACAC